UGGGAAGAGGCCACGAGGAAUGCUCUGCUCAGAAAUCUGAUCUUUUCUUUCACAGAAUAACAAAAGAUGGAAGGGACCCGUAAGGGUCAUCGAGUCCAACUCGGCAUGCCCGGGUACAGCUCAGGAGUUGGGGUUCCUUCCCAGCUCUCCCGGUUGGUGAUGUAAUUCCUGCAGAGCCGAAGUGGCUCGCUCCUGUGUUUAUUUCUUGUCCCGAAUCUUUGUGCGUUGACUCCAUGGCAUCAGGCAGGCUCUCCUGUCUCUUGGGGCGUCCCUAAUUUCAGCCAGCCCUCUAAGAAGGGAACACAAAACAGAGAACAACGUGGUCCAUUAGAAUUACUAGCUGCUGUUGUUUUAGCAGUUCCGGGUGGUGUUCGCUGCACAUCAGUAGAAAUAUUAUUUUUUAAGUGAGAAAAAAGAACUGGGAAAUCAUUGCCCACAGUUCUUGAAAAGCCGCCUCUCAGCCUUCUCAUUUCCCCUGAAAAGCCCCCCAGCUUCGCUCUGCCCCCCAGCCCGGGUAGCUCAGGGCACCCCGUCCCCCACCUCCCCCGAAAAUUAGGAGCUCUCCUUCCGUGCAGCAAAUAGACAAAGCCUACUCGAGCGGGCAGAAUGUACGAGACUCUGUUUUUCCUCCCAGAGCCGAAGUUAAAAAUUAUUCAGUGUAGAAUUCCUGGCCUGUGAACCAGAGGCUCCGCACUGUACCAGGCAAAGAUUUUCACCAGCAUUCCGCUUAGCCAAGGCGGAGAUAACAGCGCUGCGAAGCACUUGGAAUAAAUCCGCUCUUCCGAGAUUCCUCCGGGGUGCUCCUCUUCAGCUCUGUUUUCCCCGGGCUUCGUAAGUGCCAUGGCCUGCUGGUGGAGCAAGGCGGGAGGGAGGAGAGCUGCGCGCCGGCGGUGUGCCAGCAUCCCACGUCACGUUGGCCUAAAGAGGUGAUCGCCUCUCGAGAUGAAAUCAGCACACGAGAUGCUAGGCCGUAUGUAAAAGGUAUGCAUAUGUGCAUAGAUACAAGUGUACAUAUAGGUAGCAUGCUAGGCUUAACAUAAUUAAAACUUAAAAAGAACACACAGGGCAUCCAGAGGCCGUAGAGGGCAACAGGAAAUCUCUCAUCAGCUUCCCUGGAAUUUGGAUUCUGAUUAGUAUCUGCUAUCUCUUAUAGAAAUGGUUUUUGUUGUUGUUGUUGUUUGGUUUGGUUUGGUUUGGUUUCACUUUGGCUUAAGUGAAGAGGAUAAUUAUUGCUAAUGAUUUAUAGGGCGGUGACAGGUAGAAAGAGAACGCGUUUCAGAAGAAUGGCAAACGGUUUUCUUGGGAGAAACCACGCUCGGGCGGCUCUCUGACCUCGUCGACAUUAAGUGCUGUUUUCUGCAAUGGAAUUAAUAGUGCCUUAUGCCAUCCUAGAACAAGAUGCCUUGGUCUACUGGAAGGCAAGCCAGGGAACUUUUCUCAUUGUGCCUACAGCAGGUAGAAUAUCUGUAACUCCGCUGCUCGGCCGAUGCAAAUCAAUGCGUUGUGCGAUGUGCGCCUCGUUGGCCCAGCUCCUGGGUUCAGAAACCCGAGGACUCUCUCUGCCUUCUAUGUGAAUUUGCAUCUUUCAUAGCCCCUCUGCUUUUAAUUACAGCUGCCCAUUACAGCUGCUGCCAGCAGUUUCUGCCUUUGCAAGGAAAAUGGGACUGUGCGUUCCUUCCUACGAUCACACUUUAAUUCCUUACUUUGGGAAACAUCCCCCAGCAGGACGAAAUAAGGCUUCCGAAUGCAGGGAAGAGCAUUUGUGAUGAUUUUAAGCUGGUAUCGAGCCCUUCCAGGUCACGCAACUGUGACAGGUGUGCUGUGAGAAGAGAGAAGGAUACGUUACGAAAGAUAACACCGUGGAACUCACCCUCAGCUUAACAGAACCCUAACAAAGCAACUGAAAAUCAGAAUGAAAGUGAAAAGUGGAAAGAAAAGCAUUAGAAUUUCUACUGUUCCGUUCCUUUAUUCGGGAAGCGUUGAUGGCAUUGGAGGUUUUAAGGUCUCAGGGUUAAAACACACGUUCCGCCAGGGAGUUUGGGCACCUUAGACUAUAGCAAUUCUUCCGUGGGGUGCUCGUGUUAAGAACGGGGAUCGAGAGACUGUGUGUGACCUCGCUGUUAGGAAGGUGUGGGCCGGGUAUGUAAACAAGCACAAGAGUCAUAUUUGUGCAGGCUUUCAGGAACCAUCAGCUCAAAAACUUCCUGGAGCGAGAGCAGAAGACACGGCAGAUCCACGCGCCUCUCCCCACUAAUGGUGUUUUAGUGCCAUUAGAGUUCCCCAGAUUUCUGUUAAUAUCCUUACUCAUCAGUGCUAGUGAUCUUUCUUGGUGGGUCAAAGGAGCCACCUGUUCAGACCUACUCCCCCAGCGUCCACCUCCUUCCGUUCUUCCAGUCCCUUCGCUCCAUCACCGCUCCACCCGAGCCUCCUGCUGACCUUCGGGCCCCGCUCAGCCCCGGGAACAGCCUUCUGCCUUCACUGUGCAUGUGCAGAUCUGACACGUGGAUGUGGGUCUAGGGUAGGAAAUCCAUUUGCGGAGCCAUGGCCAGUGGGUAACAUCGGUAAUUGUAGGAGCGACGCUUCCAAACGGGUGAAAUAGCAAAGUGAGGGGUUAAUGUGCUGCAGGUCAAUUUCGUUCCAGCUCAACCCAAACGGCCAGUGGAUCCGGUUCCAAGGCUCCACCGAGUUCCUGCACAACCCCUGAUUAAACAGGAAAAACCUGUGAAUUGUUGGCUUUGAAUCCCAGGCUGGGGACGGAGUGCGCUUGAGUAACAUGCAUGCUUCGGGAUUUCAUUUCAAUUUCUCAAGCCUUGGAGGAAAGGGAAGAAACCUAGGCCUUUCUACAAGAAGGGGAAAAAGAUCUAAUCUGUUUACACCCCGCAUUCCUCACGUUCCUUUGAUAGCCUGCUACUAUAAAAGCCCUCGGUCCCACCUAUGGCACGAGGUUAGUUCUGCUGCAGCUCCAUUAAAUCUGUCUGAAAAGGCAGACGUGACCCGCUGUACCCGGAGGUCCUGCUUCAUUCGGACACCGGUGCAGCCCAGUUGUUUGUGAUUACGUAUGGAUCUGAGCAGAUCCUGUUUCCCCUUCAGAGAAGGUACGCACCCACCCACCUCGUUUCAAAAAGGCUCCUUUUCCUGGUAAGAACUUAAAAGUGUCCUGGUAUGGGAAUGCCCUUCUUGGAAAAUGAAGCUCUUUCCCCUGCUCCCUCCCCUCUGUUUGAACGUGAUGACUCAAGCUUGGUGCAAAUCCAAGGCAAAUAGAAGGUGCGGGCGCCGGCAGUUGGUUAACUCCUGAGCUGCUGCGAACAGAGAUCACCAAGCAGACCCAAGCCGCAUCCCAGGCUGUGGGCUCCGGGCCUCUCUUCCCAAUCCCCUCCAGGAUUCUGUGGUCUGGAGGUUUUCCAGCCACGAUGCUGAAGGAGUAGGUGGGAGCUGGAGAUUCCGUAUCUUCUGCUGCGUUGGUUAUCAAACCCUUCCCUCAGCUGCAGUCACAGCAGUGGAGUUAACAGCACCGGGCUCGCCGAGGUUUACUUUCCCAUGUGUGCGUUCAGAACGUGGCCAGAUGUUGGGUUAUUUUUGUUCCUGUAGUGCCGUUGCGUCAAACCGUUGGAAUCCAUCGGCAGCACUGCGCUGGUGGAAGUUGGGUCAGGGCCCACAAAGUGUGAGCACGGGGCAACUAUUCUGCCACAUCCAAGCCAUGACGGUCUUCCAAAGACUGAAGCAGAACGUUAGGAAACUGUGUUGGCGAGUGGGCAAAGGGCAGAGGAACCUACAGCUGACCUACGUGUAGCCGGGGCCAAUGGAACACAAAUGAAGGGCUUUGGAGUGAAGCUGAGGGGGAACGCGUGGCACGGUUGGGUCUUGCCAGCAGGUGGUGAGGAUGCUGAAGCACCGCUCUCUGAGGUGUCUCUGAAACAAAGACAGAAUGAGGAAGAAAGGCCACCUGAAUAUCAACAGCUUCCAUCGGAAGUAAUCUGGGCUCAGUGAUCAGCAUUUCAUAACCAAAAAGUGAUUUGAAUGGUACAGCUCGAAUCGCAGCUUCCUCCCUUGAUUUGCCACAGCUCUGAUUUUUAUUUGCAAACGAAGGCACGAACGCAGCAAUAUCUGUUUGAAUAUUAAAAUAUUUCUGGAAAUCAGCCUGAAUGUAAUGGAACAAAUCCUGAAAGGGUUCCAAAAAAAUAUAAUCACCCAUGGAAACAAUUUGAAUGCUCCCCAAGGGGACACAGGCGGCAAAUCGGGUUGUUACAGUCAUCUGUAAAAGGAAGAGGGAAGAAGCAAAUUAAGUGCCCUACAAAGCUCAAAAUAAAGGCACAAGAAAAGAUUAUAUUCCUGAAGCAGGUAGAAGUAUUUCCUUCCGAUGUGAACACUUAAAUGGGCUUCUCUAAGGAUAAUGUACGAAACCAAUCUCAGCCCUUAAGUACUGCCUGAC
ensembl:lncRNA